rnacentral:rRNA from 1 species
AUUGAACGCUGGCGGCAGGCCUAACACAUGCAAGUCGAACGAGUGGCGGACGGGUGAGUAAUGUCUGGGAAACUGCCCGAUGGAGGGGGAUAACUACUGGAAACGGUAGCUAAUACCGCAUACCAUCGGAUGUGCCCAGAUGGGAUUAGCUAGUAGGUGGGGUAACGGCUCACCUAGGCGACGAUCCCUAGCUGGUCUGAGAGGAUGACCGGCCACACUGGAACUGGGACACGGUCCAGACGCCUACGUGAGGCAGCAGUGGGGAAUGGUGCACAAGGGGCGCAAGCCUGAUGCAGCCAUGCCGCGUGUAUGAAGAGGGCCUUCGGGUUGUAAAGUCCUUUCAGCGGGGAGGCGUUACCCGCAGAAGAAGCACCGGCUAACUCCGUGCCAGCAGCCGCGGUAAUAC